rnacentral:rRNA from 1 species
ACUCAAAGGAAUAGACGGGGGCCCGCACAAGCGGUGGAACAUGUGGUUUAAUUCGACGCAACGCGAAGAACCUUACCUACCCUUGACAUGCUCGGAACCUUCUGGAGACAGGAGGGUGCCUUCGGGAACCGAGACACAGGUGCUGCAUGGCUGUCGUCAGCUCGUGUCGUGAGAUGUUGGGUUAAGUCCCGUAACGAGCGCAACCCCUAUUCUUAGUUGCCAACAGGUAAAGCUGGGAACUCUAAGGAGACUGCCGGUGACAAGCCGGAGGAAGGUGGGGAUGACGUCAAGUCCUCAUGGCCCUUACGGGUAGGGCUACACACGUGUUACAAUGGACAGUACAGAGGGAAGCGAAGCCGCGAGGUGGUGCAAAUCUCAUAAAGCUGUUCGUAGUCCGGAUUGGAGUCUGCAACUCGACUCCAUGAAGUUGGAAUCGCUAGUAAUCGCGGAUCAGAACGCCGCGGUGAAUACGUUCCCGGGCCUUGCACACACCGCCCGU